CUUGAGCCAACUCCAGAGCCUCCUCCAAGAGUUCUUUUCACAGUGGCCUUGUUUGUCCUGAGCUCAGCUCUUAGUCCCUGUGAAGGUAUAAACCUUUAUAAGGUGGGGCACUUUCAAAAGACAGAAGGGAAUAAAGAGGAGAAAAAGGACAGAAUCAGAGAUCCUUGGAGGGGAAGGAGAUCCUUCAGCUGUCCCUGCAGAACCUGAGGACAAAUUCCAGAGCCAAGUCUCACAGACCUCUCCUGCCAAUGAGGUUGAAAACAAUGAUCCACAGAAGGAAUUCCAGGCAGAAGAGGAACAAGGGUCCGCUGCUGCUGCUGGGAAUGAAGUGAACAAUCUCCAACAGGAUACACUGACAGGAAGGGUUCAAGACCAAUAUUCCCCUGCUGAUGAAAACCCACAAGGACCAGUCCAGCAAGGAGGCCCCCAGCAUAAUUCUCCUCACGCUGACAUUCACUAUAGACCUCUUUGCUUUUGAGGACAACAAAACUAUUUCUUCCACUCCUGGUUAUCUAAAACAAGGACUACCCAGCAAUAGAAGGCAGUAAGCGGCAACUUUCCCACUUACCCUCAUUUCUAAGAGGCAGUCGGAAGUCCUUGUUUAGGUGAUGCUUUUGAAACUAAUUAUCCCAACAAUCCAGAUGUCAAUGACAAGUAUGUGACAAAUUACUAAACACAAAGCCCUAUCCUUCCAUAUUUCUCAAAUCAUGGUGUGAAAAUUGUUUAAAUGAAGUGACAUGGUUCAAGGCA